GGGACAGUUGGGGCGGUCAGUAUUCCAAAGCGAGAGGUGAAAUUCUUAGACCUUCGGAAGACUAACAGCUGCGAAAGCGUUCCGCAAGGAUGUGCCCUUUGAUCAAGAACGAAAGUUGGGGGAUCGAAGACGAUCAGAUACCGUCGUAGUCUCAACUAUAAACUAUACCAGCUAGGGAUCGGCCAACGUUAUUUUAUACCGACUUGGUCGGCACCUUAUGAGAAAUCAAAGCAUCUGGGUUCCGGGGGGAGUAUGGUCGCAAGGCUGAAACUUAAAGGAAUUGACGGAAGGGCACCACCAGCCGUGGAGCCUGUGGCUUAAUUUGACUCAACACGGGAAAACU
rnacentral:rRNA from 1 species